AGGUUCGCCAGGAGACCUGAGGCACGACCUUCGCCACGCAAGGAGGCUGGGGCCCGGGUCGAGAGUCGACUGGGCCUCCGCUGGGACCCAGGCGUGCGACCGGCUCUGCCUCCUCCGUUUCUCUUGAAGACAAAAAUGAUAGUUUCACUUUACAAGAAGUUCACUCUUAUUCAUGGAGGCAUCAUGCUGACAGGACUGGAUCCAAGGAAAAUGCUAGUGACUUUCCCAACUUCAUUCCCCAAUCAAAGAGGACAGUUUCUGGUUUGCCACUGACUCCCUGGCCAAGCCCAGCUCCACUAACUCAUCUUGACUCGAUCAAGUUCCUCAUCAAGACUUGCAUCUGUACCCUGGACAUCUCUGCUGCUCCCACUGGAGAGUGAGUCUGGAGUCCCUGGCACUGGGGCUUUGGUGAGGGCUCCAUAUACACCCAUGGCCUGAGGAGAGGAACAGAGAGAAUACCAUGAGGACACUUGACAGAGGUGCAGCCCAGCCUACCAAUGGCUAAACGGGAAAAGAUGGCAUGGGGGCCAGUAAGUUGGUUUUCCUUUCUCCCUCUCUCAAACCUGUCUUGUAAGCUCUGGAGUUGAUUUUAGGAAUCUUGCAAACCAUCAGAGUAAAGUGACUCUCAGAAUACCAGCACAAGUAUCUACCAAAAAAAGGUAUCUCAAGAACUUCCAUAUUUGCAGGACUGAGUGGAGAUGUUUCAUUCUUAGAUUCCAUCUCUACAAAGAAUGAAGGGAGGUCUAGGGCCAAGGCACUCUGAAGACCUUUAUGGUAUGUAAGUGUUGAUGACGGUGGUGGGGUCUCAGUUUGGUCCCUGGCACCAGUGCUCUAUGCUGGGUCCUCAGAGAGCUCUAACCUGAGCCACCAUGCUGGUGACAUCGCCAGGGUUGGAGGGCAGUAGGAUAGUGUUGGAGUCCUUGGCCAGUUUGGAGAACGCGCUGACAUACUGCUCGGCCACAGUCAGUGAAGCUGCUGCAUCUCCAUUCUGUGAUCACAGGGGGAUAAAAAUCAGAGAUCACCGAUACGGAGAAGAAGGGGGGGAUGGGGAAUGAAGAAAGCAGUUCACAAUAAAAAGGACCAUGUAAUCUGGCUCAACAGAGCCCACAGAGGCGGAACUCUCCUCAAGCGUAGAUAAGAGAACCCCUUCCACUGUCAAUUCCUGUCCCCAUUCCCACCCAGGGGCCUCUCACAUGUUGUGUCAGAGCUGCAGCCAGGAUUCGAAUAGCUUCAGCUUUAGCCUUGGCCUUCGCCAGAACUGCACUGGCCUCUCCUGCAAGAGAAGGGACAGAGCUUGCUUGACCCAUGAAGUCAAAGUACCCCAAAGAUCCUGCCCCAGCACCAAUCUUCAAAGGCCCAUGCCUUGCUCCUCCCUCAGCCUCUACCCUCUCCUGACCUGCUGCCUGAUUUAUCUGUUCAGCCUUUUCUGCUUCGGAGGCCAGGAUCUGGGCCUGUUUCUUCCCUUCUGCCACAUUGAUGGCCGACUCUCGGGUCCCCUCAGACUCUAGAACUGUGGCCCGUUUCCGCCGCUCUGCCUCCACCUGGAAGCCCACAACAAUCCCAAUCAACAAGCCAAGGGAGACUGAUACAGACAUGCAACUCUACCCAUCAUAACAGGAGGGAAGUCUGGAUCCUCCUGGUACUGGAGCACCCUGAGGCCCUUUUCCCACCCCUCCUUGGCCCCCACCUGCAUCUGCAUAGACUCUUUCACCCGGGGUGGCACAUGGAUAUCCUUGAUCUCAUAACGGAGGCAGCGGAUACCCCAGCAGUCAGCAGCUUGGUUGAUGGCAUCCACAAUGCUGGCAUUCAGGGACUCCCGUUCCUGGAAAAAGAGGUGUAAGCCCCACAGCCUCAACCUACCUAUCAAGGGCCUACACUGAGAAGGGCCUGGGACUGAUCUUGACCUUCAGAAAAGAUUAAGAGUGUCAGGUUUGUGUCUUCAAACCCUAACUCUGGCUCAGAUCUGCUUACCCGGAAGACUUUGUCCAGAGAGAGUUUGCCGAGCUCUGAUCUCAUGGUUGUUUGAGCUAGCUGGGUGACGGCAUACUCAGGGUCCUCCACACCGUAGCUUGCCUGAGAUGGACACGGAUAGUGUAAGAAGCUUGGGCACAAGAUUUUAGUGAAGAGGGCAACUCAAAAGGCUGGAUAAAGUAGGGGACAGGUACCUUGUAAGGGUCCAUGAUGCGCAGGUAAAGGACUCCAUCGAUUUGCAGAGUUACAUUGUCUGUAGAACCAGGAGAGAAAACGGGGAAAGUCAGGCCUCUAGGUCCCAACCAGUUCUUUCUACUAAGCUCUGGAUCUACAGCAACCACAUCCUAAUAGCCUCAGAGCACCCAUGUCACCCUGAACCCCUCACCGAGAGUCACAGCCGACUGCUCAGGCACGUUGAUGACAAUUUCCUUGAGACUCUGCACAUAUCGGAUCCGGUCUAACACAGGGAUGAGGAUGUUCAAACCCUGGAAAGAGGAGUCAUGGGUCCUCAGAAGGCUGGGAACUAUUGGGUUGGGACCUAAGCUAGUCCUGGAGUAUGUAGGGAGUCAACACAUGGAACAUGCCCAGAAAAGCAGCAGCUCCUACCAAGAAAUAAGUCCUCAGAAGGCUGAGGUGUCACUGGUAAGAAAACCCAAGAGAACAGGAAUGCAAGACUAGGCCCCUGAAUGGAGGGGAGAGUCAUGAGAAUCGGAGCCAGCAGAAUAGCCAUCUCUAUGCAGACUGAGAGGUAGGGCUGAGAGUGGGCAGGGGAGAUUCCCAAGAAUGGGGCCUGUGAGAUGCAUAGGAAAAGGUGGUAACAUGGGGAUGAUGGUCAGCAGCCUGGGCCCUGUCAGGUCUGGCCUACAGAGUCGGGAGCUAACAGUGCGGGCAGGCCCAAAGGAAGUCCUCCCGACAUUGCAUGUCGUGAGGGAUUGGUCAUCUGGCUGGCCCAGGGUGGGCAGAAGAGGUUUCUCACAGGCUCCAGGAUCCGGUGGAAUCGGCCCAUUCGCUCCACCACCCAGGCCUCCUGCUGCGGCACGAACAGUACCACGGUGUUUCGGGGCAAUCCAGAGGAGGCGCGGCGCGGAGCGCGGCCAGAAGCCAGUAGAGAGCCCUGAAGGAAAGAAGAGGGUGAGCAGAGAUCCCAUCUGGCCAGACACGCCGCCCCUCGGUCCUGAAGGCAUCUCCAUAAACCACGACCCUCAGGAUCCUCGGAGAAUCACAUGGGGACCAUGACCUCUGACCCCAGUCCUCUCCAAAAGUUGGAAUUUCGCUCUUUUCCAGCGGAGAACCCAGGUAAUCUCUGUCCUGACCCUCUGGAAAGGUUGCCUCGCUCUCACCCUCAGCAAAAGGGCCCCAGUGCCCCGCGCCGCGCGCGCCAGCAUUUCCCACCGCCGCAGCGACCUCCGGAACCAACGAGACGAGCGGAGCGGUCGCUCCCAGAAGCCUACCCGAGCCUUUCCUCUUGCAGUUCCGCUCCCCCGGAUGUACUUCCGGCAGCUCCCUCCCCCGCUUCAACACUCACCCAAUCAGCGUUACUUGGUCGAACGGCGCGUCAAGUUGUUCCCUGGGAAACGCAGACCUUCUAGAGAAGGGCGAAGGCUGUGGUUGUUCUGGGUUUAGCUGUUCACGCCGAAGAUCCCCGGCCUGAUGGCCAAAAUGGAGGCUAUUUUUCGCGGGCAUUAUCACUCAGACACCACGCACUGAAUUAUUCGUCCUCACCCGAGACUCAGUUUGCCCACCAGAGCGUAGUAUCGCCCCCAUCUGUCACCAUAGCGACUAGUGGAUUGGAGCUGACUCGUUGCCAUGGUUGCCAUAGUGAUAUUCUCUGGUAGUCCCGCUGUGUUGUGCCCAGGACUCCCACUGGGGACUGACCCCAAUCCCGUUGCCAUGGAAACUGGGCCUAAUAUUGCCUGGCGAUUGGGCCGAGAUUUUCCCCUCCCCUCUUUCCUCAAAGACACUGCAGCUCCUUCCCUGUCUUCCCAAGCAAGGUUUGUUAUGCCCGGUCUUAAAUACAGUCCAGCAAACAGCCUCAACGUUCAA
rnacentral:lncRNA from 1 species